AUUACAACGAAGAGUUUGAUCCUGGCUCAGGAUGAACGCUAGCGGCAGGCCUAACACAUGCAAGUCGAGGGGUAACAGGGUAGCAAUACUGCUGACGACCGGCGCACGGGUGAGUAACGCGUAUGCAACCUUCCUCUAACUGGGAGAUAGCCCGGGGAAACUCGGAUUAAUACCCCAUAACAUCCUGAUUUCGCAUGUUAUCAGGAUUAAAGUUCCGACGGUUAGAGAUGGGCAUGCGUGACAUUAGCUAGUUGGUGAGGUAACGGCUCACCAAGGCUGCGAUGUCUAGGGGGCCUGAGAGGGUAGUCCCCCACACUGGUACUGAGACACGGACCAGACUCCUACGGGAGGCAGCAGUGAGGAAUAUUGGGCAAUGGACGAAAGUCUGACCCAGCCAUGCCGCGUGCAGGAUGAAGGCCCUAUGGGUUGUAAACUGCUUUUAUACAGGACGAAACUCUUGAACGUGUUCGAGAUUGACGGUACUGUAGGAAUAAGCAUCGGCUAACUCCGUGCCAGCAGCCGCGGUAAUACGGAGGAUGCAAGCGUUAUCCGGAUUCAUUGGGUUUAAAGGGUGCGUAGGCGGAAUUGUAAGUCAGAGGUGAAAUCUUGCGGCUUAACCGUAAAAUUGCCUUUGAUACUGCAGUUCUUGAGUGCAGUUGAGGUAGGCGGAAUGUGUAAUGUAGCGGUGAAAUGCUUAGAUAUUACACAGAACACCGAUUGCGUAGGCAGCUUACUAAACUGUAACUGACGCUGAGGCACGAAAGCGUGGGGAGCAAACAGGAUUAGAUACCCUGGUAGUCCACGCCGUAAACGAUGAUCACUCGCUGUUGGCGAUAAACAGUCAGCGGCUAAGUAAAAGCAUUAAGUGAUCCACCUGGGGAGUACGUCGGCAACGAUGAAACUCAAAGGAAUUGACGGGGGCCCGCACAAGCGGUGGAACAUGUGGUUUAAUUCGAUGAUACGCGAGGAACCUUACCUGGGCUUAAAUGUAGAACGACCUCCUGCGAAAGUGGGAUUCCCUUCGGGGCGGUCUGCAAGGUGCUGCAUGGUUGUCGUCAGCUCGUGCCGUGAGGUGUCGGGUUAAGUCCCAUAACGAGCGCAACCCUUAUCGUUAGUUGCCAGCGGGUAAUGCCGGGAACUCUAACGAAACUGCCGGUGUAAACCGUGAGGAAGGUGGGGAUGACGUCAAAUCAGCACGGCCCUUAUGUCCAGGGCUACACACGUGUUACAAUGGCCGGUACAAAGGGCAGCUACCUGGUGACAGGAUGCUAAUCUCUAAAGCCGGUCUCAGUUCGGAUUGAAGUCUGCAACCCGACUUCAUGAAGCUGGAAUCGCUAGUAAUCGCGCAUCAGCCAUGGCGCGGUGAAUACGUUCCCGGGCCUUGUACACACCGCCCGUCAAGCCAUGGAAGCUUGGGGUACCUGAAGUCCGUAACCGAAAGGAGCGGCCUAGGGCAAAACAAGUAACUGGGGCUAAGUCGUAACAAGGUAGCCGUACCGGAAGGUGUGGCUGGAACACCUCCUUUCUAGA
rnacentral:rRNA from 1 species